GGGAGCGCCGCCGCCUGCCACAAACCGGGAGGGAGGUACGGGUCACGACAGAACGGAUGCGGGCACAAAGAAAAACACAGACGAAGAAGACUACUUAACUGUCGCGCGCCUACCAACAGGUACCUUAUGCUGGAGCUUCGUGAUAACUUUAACAAAUUAAAACGCAGAUGUCACUGAAUGUGCCUUGAAGCCGGAGCUCAGGGGGAUAAAAGAACUUCAUGACGUCUUGGAGAAAACCUGCAGCACACAUUGACGCCUCUUAUUUUGAAAAAUCAAACAAGUGGCGUCAACCAGAAAGAGAUGUAAGAUGGUUUCACAGGAAACGAGCAGCAGCUGACGUCUCUGUUAAUGCUGUUUAAUGACUGCUUCAGACACUUUGUGUGUUGGGAAAUUAGGCAACACUCUGAGAAACCACCACCAACGAAUGUGGUGGAAAAAAGAACACAUAAACCUGAGUUAAACGUGGAGACAACAAAUCUGUCGUAGUUUCUGUAGAGUGGCAGUAGCUUAUUAGAAAUUGUGUCAGGAGUGAUGGUCCGGAAUAAGCAAGCCCCCAUACCAUUUUCUUUUUAUGAAUUAUCAAUAUCCAGUUCAGGACUCAAUAUCAAUUAUUUAUGCCCUACAAUCAUAGAUUUGAGUUAUUAAGAAUCUUUAAGAUCAGUGAUAUAAUCAAUUUCUAACAUCCACAGACAAGUCAUUUAUAUUAAUUAAUACCAAAAAUCUAAAUAUACUCGGACGAUUAUUAUCAAGAAAGAAAUUAUCCACAUCAAUACCAAAAAUCCAAGCAUAUUCAGACCAUCAUCGCCAAAAAAAAUCACCAACCAGCACCAAAAAUCCAAAGCAUACACAUACAUAGCAGAUGAUUAAUAAGAAAAUCGCUCUUUUUUUCCAUCUGCAUUAUUUUGUCUGCUCCUAAUUUUAUAAUUUUACAAAAUAAUAUAAAAUUGUAAUCCUAAUUUUGCUUAUAUGUGCCCUCCAUC